UACUAGAGUAGCACUCGCAUAUCAAUAAGCGGAGGAAAAGAAACUAACAAGGAUUCCCCUAGUAACGGCGAGUGAAGCGGGAAGAGCUCAAAUUUGAAAUCUUAAAGGGUUUCCCUUUACGAAUUGUAGUUUAAAGAAGUGUUUUCUGUUGAGGUUUUGGUAAAAGUUCUUUGGAAUAGGACAUCAUAGAGGGUGAGAAUCCCGUAUUUGACCUUUACUUUCAACUUUGUGAUACACUUUCAAAGAGUCGGAUUGUUUGGGAAUGCAGUCCAAAAUGGGUGGUAAAUUUCAUCUAAAGCUAAAUAUUGGCGAGAGACCGAUAGCGAACAAGUACCGUGAGGGAAGGAUGAAAAGAACUUUGAAAAGAGAGUUAAACAGUACGUGAAAUUGUCAAAAGGGAAGCGUUUGACACCAGUGUUGUUUUUCUGAAAAUCAAUUAAAGAACUGUUUAUGCUAAGCUGUUUAGACUUUAUCAGCUAUCUGUUUAGUUUUGAGCUUUUCUUUAAUGCACUUUUCAGUUAACAAGUCAACAUCAAUUUCUUUUGCUGUAAAAAAGCUUGAGGAAGGUGGCUUGAGAUUCGUCUUAAGUGUUUAUAGCCUCUUGCCUAUGCAGUCGGAGAGAUUGAGGUCUGCAGCGUAGAUCCUUCGGGGCUAAAUGCAUUUGUGCUAAGUUAUAGCAUUUUAUAGACAACUUGUUGACUAUGAUUUGUCUUGUAGCUUACUCGCUUAUGUUAUUUUACCUACGCUUAGGAUGUUGAACUACUGAGACAUAGA
rnacentral:rRNA from 1 species